rnacentral:rRNA from 1 species
CGUCCGAUUAGAUAGUUGGUGGGGUAACGGCCUACCAAGUCGACGAUCGGUAGCCGGACUGAGAGGUCGAACGGCCACAUUGGGACUGAGACACGGCCCAGACUCCUACGGGAGGCAGCAGUGGGGGAUAUUGCACAAUGGGGGAAACCCUGAUGCAGCGACGCCGCGUGAGGGAAGACGGUCCUCUGGAUUGUAAACCUCUGUCUUCGGGGACGAAACGAGACGGUACCCGAGGAGGAAGCCACGGCUAACUACGUGCCAGCAGCCGCGGUAAUACGUAGGUGGCAAGCGUUGUCCGGAAUUACUGGGUGUAAAGGGAGCGUAGGCGGGCAGGCAAGUCAGGCGUGAAAUAUAUCGGCUCAACCGGUAACGGCGCUUGAAACUGCAGGUCUUGAGUGAAGUAGAGGUUGGCGGAAUUCCUAGUGUAGCGGUGAAAUGCGUAGAUAUUAGGAGGAACACCAGUGGCGAAGGCGGCCAACUGGGCUUUUACUGACGCUGAGGCUCGAAAGUGUGGGGAGCAAACAGGAUUAGAUACCCUGGUAGUCCACACCGUAAACGAUGAUUACUAGGUGUGGGGGGACUGACCCCUUCCGUGCCGGAGUUAACACAAUAAGUAAUCCACCUGGGGAGUACG